rnacentral:rRNA from 1 species
UCUACCUACGGGGCGCAGCAGUGAGGAAUAUUGGUCAAUGGGCGGAAGCCUGAACCAGCCAAGUCGCGUGAGGGAAUAAGGCCCUACGGGUCGUAAACCUCUUUUGCCGGGGAGCAAGGGCGGGGACGUGUCCCGGCCCGGAGAGUACCCGGAGAAAAAGCAUCGGCUAACUCCGUGCCAGCAGCCGCGGUAAUACGUAGGGGGCAAGCGUUGUCCGGAAUUACUGGGUGUAAAGGGUGAGUAGGCGGCAUGGUAAGCCAGAUGUGAAAGCCUUGGGCUUAACCCGAGGAUUGCAUUUGGAACUA